AAGAACGCUGGCGGCAGGCCUAAGACAUGCAAGUCGUACGCGAACGAUCUUUCGGGGUUAAGUAGAGUGGCGAACGGGUUAGUAACGCGUGGGAACAUACACAGCACAGGGGGAUAACCAUUGGAAACGAUGGCUAAUACCGCAUACGCCCUUUUGGGGAAAGAUUUAUCGGUGUUGGAUUGGCCCGCGUUAGAUUAGCUAGUUGGUGGGGUAAUGGCUCACCAAGGCGACGAUUUAUAGCUGGUUUGAGAGGAUGAUCAGCAACACUGGAACUGAGACACGGUCCAGACUCCUACGGGAGGCAGCAGUCGGGAAUAUUGUGCAAUGGGGGCAACCCUGACACAGCCAUGCCGCGUGAGUGAAGAAGGCCUUAGGGUUGUAAAGCUCUUUCAGAUGUGAGGAUGAUGACGAUAGCAUCAGAAGAAGCUCCGGCUAACUUCGUGCCAGCAGCCGCGGUAAUACGAAGGGAGCUAGCGUNGUUCGGAAUUACUGGGCGUAAAGGGCGUGUA
rnacentral:rRNA from 1 species